AGAUUAACUAGAGGAUGCCUAAAGGAGGCCUAGGGCAGAAUCAGACAUAAUGAAUAGCAUCUAUUUUAUCAUCAUUAUUAUUGCUGUUGUUAUUCAGCUUGGAACAUCCAAGCUGGAUAUAGCUUGACUCUAGAAGCAUAAUUUUCAACCUUGGCUUUUCUCUGGAAUUUCCUAAGGAAUGCUAAAAUCUUGAGCCUGGGCCCCACCCCUGAGAUUCUGACACAAUCAUCCAGGGGAGGGGGCCAGGUCUUGAUUAGUUUAAAAGCUCCCAGCUGGGGGGUCUGAUGUGCCGCCAAGGCUGAGGACCAGAGCAGUAGUUCUCAAAGUGUCGUCCCAGCAGCAGGAGCAUCAGCAGCAUUGAGAGCUCGUUAGAAAUGCAGAUGCUCGGCCCUCCUGAGUCAUAUCUCAGGGUGUGGAGCCCAGUGACCUGUGUUUUAAGGAGCCUGCCUGUGGAUUUGAAUACCCUAUUGGGUUUGAGAUUUGCUGUGGUAGGGAAUAUGCCCUCAUUCACGAGACCAGAAUGGGAAGGAGCACUGGGAAGCAGAGAGACCGGCAGGAGUCUAUUGCUGGAAUCCACGUGGAGGAGAUGUAUGUGUACCAAUGCACAGAAAAGGUCCUGGAGGAAACACAGCAAACCAUGGCAGCAGUUUCUAGUGGGGAACUAGAAGAGGUGGAUAAAAGAAAGAAGCUCUUAUUACUUUCUAUCUACUGGGUUGUGUUGGGAUGUUUUACAAAGAGAAUAUAUCUACUUCUUACAAGAGUGGAGAACAAAAAACUGGAGACAAUAAAAAGAUCUGUGGUUGCCAGGGUUUGGUGGGAGGGAAAAUGGAAUAAGGGGAUUGCAGAGUUUUAAGGCAAUGAAAAUGCUCUGUAUGUUACCAUAAUGGUGGGUCCAUAUCAUUCUACAUUUGUCCAAACCACAGAAUGUCACCAGUAUGAGUGAACCCUAAUGGAAACUAUGGACUUCAGGCAAUUAUGGGGUGUCAAGCGGGUUCAUCGAUUGUAACCAAUGUACCACUCUGGUGGGGGAUGCUGAUAAUAGGGUUGCCUUUGUAUGCCUGGGGGCAGGGGAGAUAUGGCAAAUCUCUGAAACUUCCUCUCAAUUUUGCUGUGACUCUAAAAACGCUCUAAAAAAUAUAAAGUCCUAAAAACAAAAAAAGAUAAUAA
ensembl:lncRNA